GACAACAGAAGCCACAGAAAUCCUCCUCAUCAAAAACAUGACUUUGAUCUCCGUCCUCAUCUGGACUCUCCUCUGCUGCUGCUUCACAGAGUCCAGAGGCCAGAUCACAGUGACUCAGUCUGCAGCAGUGAGAUCUGAACUGGGACGAUCUGCAACCAUCAGCUGUAGUGUCAGUCCAAAAGUGAGUGUAGGAAGUAGCAGCGGCAAAGAAAUUUUAUCCUGGUACCAUCAGAAAGACGGAGAAGCUCCUAAACUCCUCAUAAGCUACUAUAGUGGUCGUGUAUCGGGGAUUCCAGAUCGUUUUUCAAGCAGUGGCUCACAAACUGACUUCACUCUGACCAUCAGUGGAGUUCAGGCUGAAGAUGCAGCAGUUUAUUACUGUCAGAGUCGUCAUGAUAUCAACAGUCAACGUGUGUUCACACAGUGA